GACGAACGCUGGCGGCGUGCCUAAUACAUGCAAGUCGAGCGAGCUGAAUUCAAAGAUCCCUUCGGGGUGAUUUGUUGGACGCUAGCGGCGGAUGGGUGAGUAACACGUGGGCAAUCUGCCCUAAAGACUGGGAUACCACUUGGAAACAGGUGCUAAUACCGGAUAACAACAUGAAUCGCAUGAUUCAAGUUUGAAAGGCSGCGGAAGCUGKCACUUUAGGAUGAGCCCGCGGCGCAUUAGCUAGUUGGUGGGGUAAAGGCCUACCAAGGCAAUGACGCGUAGCCGAGUUGAGAGACUGAUCGGCCACAUUGGGACUGAGACACGGCCCAAACUCCUACGGGAGGCAGCAGUAGGGAAUCUUCCACAAUGGACGCAAGUCUGAUGGAGCAACGCCGCGUGAGUGAAGAAGGUCUUCGGAUCGUAAAGCUCUGUUGUUGGUGAAGAAGGAUAGAGGCAGUAACUGGUCUUUAUUUGACGGUAAUCAACCAGAAAGUCACGGCUAACUACGUGCCAGCAGCCGCGGUAAUACGUAGGUGGCAAGCGUUGUCCGGAUUUAUUGGGCGUAAAGCGAGCGCAGGCGGAAUGAUAAGUCUGAUGUGAAAGCCCACGGCUYAACCGUGGAACUGCAUCGGAAACUGUCAUUCUUGAGUGCAGAAGAGGAGAGUGGAACUCCAUGUGUAGCGGUGGAAUGCGUAGAUAUAUGGAAGAACACCAGUGGCGAAGGCGGCUCUCUGGUCUGCAACUGACGCUGAGGCUCGAAAGCAUGGGUAGCGAACAGGAUUAGAUACCCUGGUAGUCCAUGCCGUAAACGAUGAGCGCUAGGUGUUGGGGACUUUCCAGUCCUCAGUGCCGCAGCAAACGCAUUAAGCGCUCCGCCUGGGGAGUACGACCGCAAGGUUGAAACUCAAAGGAAUUGACGGGGGCCCGCACAAGCGGUGGAGCAUGUGGUUUAAUUCGAAGCAACGCGAAGAACCUUACCAGGUCUUGACAUCCUGCGCUACACCUAGAGAUAGGUGGUUCCCUUCGG
rnacentral:rRNA from 1 species